rnacentral:rRNA from 1 species
GUGCCAGCAGCCGCGGUAAUACGGAGGGUGCAAGCGUUAAUCGGAAUUACUGGGCGUAAAGCGUGCGUAGGCGGUUUGCUAAGUCAGAUGUGAAAGCCCCGGGCUUAACCUGGGAACUGCAUUUGAUACUGGUUAACUAGAGUUUAAUAGAGGGGAGUGGAAUUUCAGGUGUAGCGGUGAAAUGCGUAGAUAUCUGAAGGAACACCAGUGGCGAAGGCGACUCCCUGGAUUAAAACUGACGCUGAGGUACGAAAGCGUGGGUAGCAAACAGGAUUAGAUACCCUGGUAGUCC